rnacentral:tRNA from 1 species
CGGGGCGUAGCGCAGUUGGCUAGCGCGCUUGGUUUGGGACCAAGAAGCCGGUGGUUCAAAUCCACCCGCCCCGA